rnacentral:lncRNA from 1 species
UAACUAUGUCUUAAGCUUCGUUUAAGCUUCGUUUGUGAUUGCGGGGAGAUUGCGUUACGUGCGGUGAGAAAUUACGUUGGAAAAAUAUCUUGUUUGUUUCCGUACGUAAUAUUGUGUUCUGCAUAUCGCGAUAAGUCGGUUACAAUAUAUUUUCUGCAAUCUCACCGGAGAACGCAGAAGCAUAUCCCUAUAUGCUUUUUCCUCAACUCCAUUUUAUCUAAUAGCGUUAGAUAGACCUCAAUACCAAAGCCUUAGUUAUAUCAUGUUUCGCAC